rnacentral:rRNA from 1 species
UACGUAGGGGGCAAGCGUUGUCCGGAUUUAUUGGGCGUAAAGAGCGUGUAGGCGGCCUGGUAGGUCAGUUGUGAAAACUCGAGGCUCAACCUCGAGACGCCGAUUGAAACCACCAGGCUAGAGUCCGGAAGAGGAGAGUGGAAUUCCCGGUGUAGCGGUGAAAUGCGCAGAUAUCGGGAAGAACACCCGUGGCGAAAGCGGCUCUCUGGAACGGUACUGACGCUGAGACGCGAAAGCGUGGGGAGCGAACAGG